UGUAUUAGUCUUCUAUAUGUCUUCAGUGAUACAGCGCUGAGCUUUUCCACUGCGCAAUCACCAUGGACUGUGAUCCCUAAUGAGUGCCAGUCCAAGCUGAUGUGGAGUUAUCUUUGAAGCCCCCCCUGCCCCCCAACAAGUGUGAUAUACAAGCCAAGAAGAAAAAAAGCAUCCAGGCGCAUGUGCUGUUUGACAUCCAACACCCACUACACAAGAGGAGCUUUGGUUAAACCCCUGGCUGGGCACAAACCACCCCCUCCCCCCUGGAAGUUUUCU